rnacentral:rRNA from 1 species
UACGUAGGGUGCGAGCGUUAAUCGGAAUUACUGGGCGUAAAGCGUGCGCAGGCGGUUGUGUAAGACAGAUGUGAAAUCCCCGGGCUCAACCUGGGAACUGCAUUUGUGACUGCAUCGCUGGAGUGCGGCAGAGGGGGGAUGGAAUUCCGCGUGUAGCAGUGAAAUGCGUAGAUAUGCGGAGGAACACCGAUGGCGAAGGCAAUCCCCUGGGCCUGCACUGACGCUCAUGCACGAAAGCGUGGGGAGCAAACAGG